GCUUACGGCCACAUCUCCCUGAGCACACCCGAUCUCGUCUGAUCUCGGAAGCUAAGCAGGGUCGGGCCCGGUUAGUACUUGGAUGGGAGACCGCCUGGGAAUACCAGGUGCUGUAAGCC
rnacentral:rRNA from 1 species